rnacentral:lncRNA from 1 species
UUAGCCCUUUCUCACAAGGUCUCCUCAUCAACAUCCAUUACCUAUUCCCAAACCAAAUCAGAGGAAUUAGGUUCAGAACCAGAAUCAGGCUCAGAUCAAAACUCAAGUUGAUCUAGAAAGAAAGCGCCCAGACAUUGAGUUGAUACCUGUUACAUACAGACAAUUUCUACCUCACUUGAUUCGAAGUGGGAUGGUAAUACCUAGAUUUUUG